rnacentral:rRNA from 1 species
UGAGAUGUUGGGUUAAGUCCGUAACGAGCGCAACCCUUGUCCUUAGUUACCAGCACGUUAUGGUGGGCACUCUAAGGAGACUGCCGGUGACAACCGGAGGAAGGUGGGGAUGACGUCAAGUCAUCAUGGCCCUUACGGCCUGGGCUACACACGUGCUACAAUGGUCGGUACAAAGGGUUGCCAAGCCGCGAGGUGGAGCUAAUCCCAUAAAACCGAUCGUAGUCCGGAUCGCAGUCUGCAACUCGACUGCGUGAAGUCGGAAUCGCUAGUAAUCGUGAAUCAGAAUGUCACGGUGAAUACGUUCCCGGGCCUU